GGGGCACAGGGCUGGUCCUGCUUGUUGGGUGAUUUGGGAUGUUCCUGAGCACACCCAGCACAACAAGCUCAUGAUUGUGACAUAAAAUGACAAAAUCAUGUAGAAAAUAAAAUGCGAUAGUGGGCAAUUUGCAAUCUGAGCAUGGAAAGACGGUUCAGUACAUGAAAUUCUGGUGAGACCAGCGACUGUCAUACUGAAAAAAAACUUGAAUUAAUGCACUGAAUGUUUAAUUUAAAGUUCAUUCCUCUAAGAACGCCGUAGUUUUGUAUCACACACUUGAUAAG